AGAACGAACGCUGGCGGCAUGCCUAAUACAUGCAAGUCGAACGAACACUUCGGUGUUAGUGGCGCACGGGUGCGUAACGCGUGGGAAUCUGCCCUUGGGUUCGGAAUAACAGUUGGAAACGACUGCUAAUACCGGAUGAUGACGAAAGUCCAAAGAUUUAUCGCCCAGGGAUGAGCCCGCGUAGGAUUAGCUAGUUGGUGAGGUAAAGGCUCACCAAGGCGACGAUCCUUAGCUGGUCUGAGAGGAUGAUCAGCCACACUGGGACUGAGACACGGCCCAGACUCCUACGGGAGGCAGCAGUAGGGAAUAUUGGACAAUGGGCGCAAGCCUGAUCCAGCAAUGCCGCGUGAGUGAUGAAGGCCUUAGGGUUGUAAAGCUCUUUUACCCGAGACGAUAAUGACAGUAUCGGAGAAUAAGCCCCGGCUAACUCCGCGCCAGCAGCCGC
rnacentral:rRNA from 1 species